AAGUCGUAACAAGGUAACCGUAGGUGAACCUGCGGUUGGAUCAUUAAUGAAUUAUGGCUCAACGUGUAGUUGGGUCUAAUUAGGGGGAGUUUUUUGAUAGUCGAAAGACUUGAUAAAAUUCCCUCGUUUACCUUUGUGAACUGUUGAGACUGGGACUAUUUAUUUAGAACCUUUCUUGACUACCCAAACAUAAAGUCAUUAGAAUCUAGUCUUAAUAAAACAACUUAAAGUUGAAACAACUUUUGACAACGGAUCUCUUGGCUCUC
rnacentral:misc_RNA from 1 species